GUCCACGCCUAACGAUGUCAACUGGUUGUUGGAGGGUUCUUCUCAGUAACGAAGCUAACGCGUGAAGUUGACCGCCUGGGAGUACGGCCGCAAGGUUGAAACUCAAAGGAAUUGACGGGACCCGCACAAGCGGUGGAUGAUGUGGUUUAAUUCGAUGCAACGCGAAACCUUACCUACCCUUGACAUGUCAGAGAUCCCGAAGAGAUUUGGGAGUGCUCGAAAGAGAAUCUGAACACAGGUGCUGCAUGGCCGUCGU
rnacentral:rRNA from 1 species